CCAAAUGUAGCUCAUUCUGGUGAGAGCAAUCGACCGCAAAUCGAUGUGUAACGGGUUCGAAUCCCGUCAUUUGAC
rnacentral:tRNA from 2 species